rnacentral:tRNA from 1 species
CGGAGCCUAGCUUAAAAGUCAAAGCAACUCCCCUACACUGAGUUAAUACCCGUUCAAAUCGAGUGGCCCCGA